rnacentral:snRNA from 1 species
GUCUACGAGUCGGGUUGU